UACGUAGGCAGCAAGCGUUGUUCGGAAUUACUGGGCGUAAAGAGUGUGUAGGCGGUGCUCUAAGUUUGGUGUGAAAUCUCCCGGCUCAACUGGGAGGGUGCGCCGAAAACUGGAAUGCUUGAACAUGGGAGAGGAAAGCGGAAUUCCUGGUGGUAGCGGUGAAAUGCGUAGAUAUCAGGAGGAACACCUGCGGUGUAGACGGCUUUCUGGACCAUUGUUGACGCUGAGACACGAAAGCGUGGGUAGCAAACAGG
rnacentral:rRNA from 1 species